rnacentral:rRNA from 1 species
GACGAACGCUGGCGGCGCGCCUAACACAUGCAAGUCGAACGAGCGAGAGAGAGCUUGCUUUCUCAAGCGAGUGGCGAACGGGUGAGUAACGCGUGAGGAACCUGCCUCAAAGAGGGGGACAACAGUUGGAAACGACUGCUAAUACCGCAUAAUGUGUUUUGGGGGCAUCCCCGAAAUACCAAAGAUUUAUCGCUGAAAGAUGGGCUCGCGUCUGAUUAGCUAGUUGGUGGGGUAACGGCCUACCAAGGCGACGAUCAGUAGCCGGACUGAGAGGUUGAACGGCCACAUUGGGACUGAGAUACGGCCCAG